GGGCGGCGUGCUAUACAUGCAAGUCGAGCGGACAGAUGGGAGCUUGCUCCCUGAUGUUAGCGGCGGACGGGUGAGUAACACGUGGGUAACCUGCCUGUAAGACUGGGAUAACUCCGGGAAACCGGGGCUAAUACCGGAUGGUUGUUUGAACCGCAUGGUUCAAACAUAAAAGGUGGCUUCGGCUACCACUUACAGAUGGACCCGCGGCGCAUUAGCUAGUUGGUGAGGUAAUGGCUCACCAAGGCAACGAUGCGUAGCCGACCUGAGAGGGUGAUCGGCCACACUGGGACUGAGACACGGCCCAGACUCCUACGGGAGGCAGCAGUAGGGAAUCUUCCGCAAUGGACGAAAGUCUGACGGAGCAACGCCGCGUGAGUGAUGAAGGUUUUCGGAUCGUAAAGCUCUGUUGUUAGGGAAGAACAAGUACCGUUCGAAUAGGGCGGUACCUUGACGGUACCUAACCAGAAAGCCACGGCUAACUACGUGCCAGCAGCCGCGGUAAUACGUAGGUGGCAAGCGUUGUCCGGAAUUAUUGGGCGUAAAGGGCUCGCAGGCGGUUUCUUAAGUCUGAUGUGAAAGCCCCCGGCUCAACCGGGGAGGGUCAUUGGAAACUGGGGAACUUGAGUGCAGAAGAGGAGAGUGGAAUUCCACGUGUAGCGGUGAAAUUGCGUAGAGAUGUGGAGGAACACCAGUGGCGAAGGCGACUCUCUGGUCUGUAACUGACGCUGAGGAGCGAAAGCGUGGGGAGCGAACAGGAUUAGAUACCCUGGUAGUCCACGCCGU
rnacentral:rRNA from 1 species